rnacentral:rRNA from 1 species
CCCUUUGAUGUUCUGGGCUGCACGCGCGCUACACGGAUGCGCUCAACGAGUUUACGACCUUGCCUGGAAAGGUUGGGUAAUCUUCUUAAAACGCAUCGUGAUGGGGAUAGAUUAUUGCAACUAUUAAGAUUCAACGAGGAGUUCCUAGUAAGCGCGAGUCAUCAGCUCGUGCUGAUUACGUCCCUGCCCUUUGUACACACCGCCCGUCGCUACUACCGAUUGAAUGGUUUAGUGAGGCCUUCGGAUCCGCGAUUUUAUUGUGGAGAAGUUGGACAAACUCAGUCAUUUAGAGGAAGUAAAAGUCGUAACA